rnacentral:rRNA from 1 species
AGUGAACGCUGGCGGUAGGCCUAACACAUGCAAGUCGAACGAGAGCACCGUAAGAGCUUGCUCUCACGGGUGGCGAGUGGCGGACCGGUGAGGUAUACACCGGAAUCUACUUUUUCGUGGGGGAUAACGUAGGGAAACUUACGCUAAUACAGCAUACGACCUACGGGUGAAAGCAGGCGAUCUUCGGACCUUGCGCGAUUGAAUGAGCCGAGGUCGGCUUAGCUAGUUGGCGGGGUAAAGGCCAACCAAGGCGACGAUCCGUAGCUGGUCUGAGAGGAUGAUUAGCUACACUGGAAGAGAGACACGGUCCAGACUCCUACGCGGGGCAGCAGUGGGGAAUAUUGGAGGAUGGGGGAAAGCCGGAUACAGCCAUACCGCGGGGAUGAAGAAGGCGUUAGGGUUGUAAAGCCCUGUUGUUGGGAAAGAAAAACAGCAGGUUUAUACCCCGCGGUACUGACGGUACCCAAAGAAUAAGCACCGGCUAACUUCGUG